ensembl:lincRNA D030018L15Rik RIKEN cDNA D030018L15 gene
CAAUGUCCUUCCGUGGUUCCUGUGUCUGCUCUUGUCUGGGUUCCUGCCCUGACUUUCCUAACAGAUGAGCUGUGAUCAUGACUUGGCUUUAAAACUUCUGCAGCUGUUUGUUCCAGAUGUGGAAUCUUGCCCCAGCAUCUGACCAUCCAUCAGCCAGCUAUUUCACACAGAUAAGAUACUCAUCUUUUACGCUGAAUAGCCACAGAGUGUCUGGAGCCGAGCCGGAACAGGCCACGAGCAUGGCUCUCCUCAAACACACUUUUAAACACAUUCAGUCUGAAUGGGGAUGAAGUCGGCCUAUGGUCGUUUACUUUGCUGGAGAUCUAAGUUGCACUACGGUGAAUGCAGUGAACAGACUUCCGGUUGACCUGGAGACGAGCCGCAGGCUGUCAGGAGAGGUGGCUCUUCUGGCUUGUCAGGUGGGUCAACCCAAAGAGACGCAGCUCUCCAGACUGCCGAACCUGUGCCACAGUGCUCCAUACCCAAAUACCAUCGGAGAGAGCUGGUCUCCCAGGAGUGUUGACACACCUGUGAACACUGAUAAGACCACCACUUCUGCUCAAAUUCCUGGCCCAAGAGGGACCUUCCCAGAGCCAUCAGGACUCAGGAACCCAGGAACAGCCGGGGACAGGAUCCUUCAGGUUUCCGUCUGCACCUCAGAGCUGACCCUGUGCCACAGCUCCCCAUACCUAAAUAACUCCUGGGGAAAACUGGUCUCCCAGGAGUGCUGACACACAGGCUUGCAGGAGGGACCAGCCACAGCCACAGCCACAGCCAGAGACAGCAAGACCAGCUAACACUAGAGGUAACCGGAUGGAGAGAGGCAAGGGGAAGAACGUAAGCAAAGAUUUGAAGACAGGCUCUAUAUUAGAUCAUAAUGUUAAUGUGGGUUUCUUGGCUGCAAUAAUUUCUUUAUGGGGCUGCAAAGGAGAGAACGUUGUUCUUCGGAUGUAUGCGCCAAAUGCUGUGGGGUGGCAUGUCACUGUGUGCAUUGGUGAGGACAUGGAGUGAGAGAGAGAGAAAAGAAGGGACAGACUGACAUUAAGUGGAGUGUGGAUAAUCUAGGCAAGGUUCUUGCAUUGUUCCUUCACCUUUGAACACUUUAGAGUUUGAGGAGGGGAAAAAUCCCAGCACUACGGAUCAUUGCAGCCCAACUAAAUGACGACAAGUGGCUGUAUCCAUAAGCAAGGUGAAAGCUCUCCCUUCACCUCCAUGCAGACGUGUUUACUGUCGUUUCCACGAUCUCGGGUCUUUGCAGGCGCUGACAAUCAGAGUUUAGCUAAUGUCUCUGAAUUCUGGCUUCUGAGAAAGUAAAUCUAGUCACUCUAACUUUGAUUCAAGUUCAAGCUGACUCUUGGGUUAGUCACCAGUAACCAAGGGGCUAAGAAUGUUUUAGCCACACGACACACUGUGGACCCAGGUUCUAGAAAGGCAAGGGUUGGCCGUCUGCUGUCUGGGUCCCUUCAAAGGGUCUACUGCAGAGGGUGACUUUUGACAUACGUUGACAAGAGUUAGUAGGAAAAGCCCGUGCGGUUGCCGCUCAUCCGGGGACAGCCUCCUCUGAGACUUUGUUCUCCAAAGCGGAGCUCCCCACCCAGGUAUAUAUACACCUAUCAGUAAAUGCACCAUCUAUUUACUAUUUUAUGUUUUAAAACAUGCGUACUGGUAUGACUUAAUAUGUAUGAAAUAACGCUAAGUCAGGGUUCACAGAGUCCCUUGUCUGAUUCUAAUGUUUUUAUGAACCUUAUCUUGCAAUGCUUCAGAAAUUUCUAUUUACUUCAGGAACUUGUUUGUGCCCAUUCACACAUUUAUUGACACCCACGGAAGCUUUUAAUUUGGUUUCAUAAAGCAAAAUAAAA